rnacentral:rRNA from 1 species
CCUACGGGAGGCAGCAGUGAGGAAUAUUGGUCAAUGGACGAGAGCCUGAACCAGCCAAGUAGCGUGAAGGAUGACUGCCCUAUGGGUUGUAAACUUCUUUUAUAAAGGAAUAAAACGAGGCACGUGUGCCUUUUUGCAUGUACUUUAUGAAUAAGGAUCGGCUAACUCCGUGCCAGCAGCCGCGGUAAUACGGAGGAUCCGAGCGUUAUCCGGAUUUAUUGGGUUUAAAGGGAGCGUAGAUGGGUUGUUAAGUCAGUUGUGAAAGUUUGCGGCUCAACCGUAAAAUUGCAAUUGAUACUGGCAGUCUUGAGUACAGUUGAGGUAGGCGGAAUUCGUGGUGUAGCGGUGAAAUGCUUAGAUAUCACGAAGAACCCCGAUUGCGAAGGCAGCUUACUAAACUGUGACUGACAUUGAUGCUCGAAAGUGUGGGGAUCAAACAGGAUUAGAUACCCUAGUAGUC